rnacentral:rRNA from 1 species
AGUCGAGCGAGCGGAACCAGCAGAAUCACUUCGGUGAGGACGCUGGGAAAGCGAGCGGCGGAUGGGUGAGUAACACGUGGGGAACCUGCCCUUAAGUCUGGGAUACCACUUGGAAACAGGUGCUAAUACCGGAUAAGAAAGCAGUUCGCAUGAACAGCUUUUAAAAGGCGGCGCAAGCUGUCGCUAAAGGAUGGACCCGCGGUGCAUUAGCUAGUUGGUAAGGUAACGGCCUACCAAGGCAGUGAUGCAUAGCCGAGUUGAGAGACUGAUCGGCCACAUUGGGACUGAGACACGGCCCAAACUCCUACGGGAGGCAGCAGUAGGGAAUCUUCCACAAUGGACGCAAGUCUGAUGGAGCAACGCCGCGUGAGUGAAGAAGGUUUUCGGAUCGUAAAGCUCUGUUGUUGGUGAAGAAGGAUAGAGGUAGUAACUGGCCUUUAUUUGACGGUAAUCAACCAGAAAGUCACGGCUAACUACGUGCCAGCAGCCGCGGUAAUACGUAGGUGGCAAGCGUUGUCCGGAUUUAUUGGGCGUAAAGCGAGCGCAGGCGGAAGAAUAAGUCUGAUGUGAAAGCCCUCGGCUUAACCGAGGAAUUGCAUCGGAAACUGUUUUUCUUGAGUGCAGAAGAGGAGAGUAGAACUCCAUGUGUAGCGGUGGAAUGCGUAGAUAUAUGGAAGAAUACCAGUGGCGAAGGCGGCUCUCUGGUCUGCAACUGACGCUGAGGCUCGAAAGCAUGGGUAGCGAACAGGAUUAGAUACCCUGGUAGUCCAUGCCGUAAACGAUGAGUGCUAAGUGUUGGGAGGCUUCCGCCUCUCAGUGCUGCAGCUAACGCAUUAAGCACUCCGCCUGGGGAGUACGACCCGCAAGGUUGAAAC